GAUGAAGAACGUAGCGAAAUGCGAUAAGUAAUGUGAAUUGCAGAAUUCAGUGAAUCAUCGAAUCUUUGAACGCACAUUGCGCCCGCCAGUAUUCUGGCGGGCAUGCCUGUUCGAGCGUCAUUUCAACCAUCAAGCCCCCGGCUUGUGUUGGGGACCUGCGGCUGCCGCAGGCCCUGAAAAGCAGUGGCGGGCUCGCUGUCACACCGAGCGUAGUAGCAUACAUCUCGCUCUGGGCGUGCUGCGGGUUCCGGCCGUUAAACCACCUUCAUAACCCAAGGUUGACCUCGGAUCGGGUAGGAAGACCCGCUGAACUUAAGCAUAUCGAUAAGGGAGGA
rnacentral:misc_RNA from 1 species